rnacentral:rRNA from 1 species
AGCGAACGCUGGCGGCAGGCCUAACACAUGCAAGUCGAGCGCCCCCUCCUUCAAGCGAGCUUGGAGGUUGCGGAGCGGUGUCUUCGGCGAGCGCAAGCUCGCUUGAAGGAAUCGUUAUCGAGAUCAAGCGAGCCGAGUAUCAUUUCGAGAUUUGGGCUCGCUUGAUGGAGGGGAGCGGCAGACGGGAGAGUAACACGUGGGAACGUACCCUCAGUUCGGAACAACCCAGGGAAACUUGGGCUAAUACCGGAUACGUCCGUAAGGAGAAAGAUUUAUCGCUGAAGGAUCGGCCCGCGUCUGAUUAGCUAGUUGGUGAGGUAACGGCUCACCAAGGCGACGAUCAGUAGCUGGUCUGAGAGGAUGAUCAGCCUCA